GACGAACGCUGGCGGCGUGCCUAACACAUGCAAGUCGAGCGAGUGAAUCUCCUUCGGGAGUGAAGCUAGCGGCGGACGGGUGAGUAACACGUGGGCAACCUGCCUCAUAGAGGGGAAUAGCCUUUCGAAAGGAAGAUUAAUACCGCAUAAGAUUGUAGCUUCGCAUGAAGUAGCAAUUAAAGGAGCAAUCCGCUAUGAGAUGGGCCCGCGGCGCAUUAGCUAGUUGGUGAGGUAACGGCUCACCAAGGCGACGAGGCGUAGCCGACCUGAGAGGGUGAUCGGCCACAUGGGGACUGAGACACGGCCCAGACUCCUACGGGAGGCAGCAGUGGGGAGUAUUGCACAAUGGGGGAAACCCUGAUGCAGCAACGCCGCGUGAGUGAUGACGGCCUUCGGGUUGUAAAGCUCUGUCUUCAGGGACGAUAAUGACGGUACCUGAGGAGGAAGCCACGGCUAACUACGUGCCAGCCGCCGCGGUAA
rnacentral:rRNA from 1 species